AGUAUAAAUAAUCGAAUAUUAAUCGUUAGUACGCAGAUGGUAUAUGGUUUCCGCCGUCAUUUUUUAAUUUCAUCGAAUUCGCCGAAUGUAUCUUUAACCACUAGAUAAGAAUCUUACCUAAGGUUCUUAAACCGUUUCUUUGAUUCUUUACGGGUCUCUUAAAAGUUAUAAAACUUUUGUCCAUACAGUACCUAAUCGAUGUUUUUUUAUGUGUAAAACACUGCAGUUAACACUGAGCAGGUUAUUAACCGUUGGUAUUAAUGAUGUUGUUUUAGAUUCUGAAUGUAGCGAAGAACGUAUUGGUUUUACAAAGAUUUUUUUUGUUUUUUUUUUAUACUAUUCCAAAAAUGUCUACUAGACAUUUUGCUCCGAUAUGUACGUAUAGCGUCAUUUCUGA